UGGAUCAAUAAUGAGAGUAUGUCAAGAACCAAGGGUUAUGAUUAAUCUAAUUUCUUUCCCAUGUACGAUGGAUU
rnacentral:snoRNA from 1 species